rnacentral:rRNA from 1 species
AACGAACGCUGGCGGCAUGCCUAACACAUGCAAGUCGAACGAAGUCUUCGGACUUAGUGGCGCACGGGUGCGUAACGCGUGGGAAUCUGCCCUUGGGUACGGAAUAACUCAGAGAAAUUUGUGCUAAUACCGUAUAAUGUCUUCGGACCAAAGAUUUAUCGCCCAAGGAUGGGCCCGCGUAAGAUUAGCUAGUUGGUGGGGUAAAAGCCUACCAAGGCGACGAUCUUUAGCUGGUCUGAGAGGAUGAUCAGCCACACUGGGACUGAGACACGGCCCAGACUCCUACGGGAGGCAGCAGUGGGGAAUAUUGGACAAUGGGCGAAAGCCUGAUCCAGCAAUGCCGCGUGAGUGAUGAAGGCCCUAGGGUUGUAAAGCUCUUUUACCAGGGAUGAUAAUGGCAGUACCUGGAGAAUAAGCUCCGGCUAACUCCGUG